rnacentral:rRNA from 1 species
AACGAACGCUGGCGGCAUGCCUAACACAUGCAAGUCGAACGAGACCUUCGGGUCUAGUGGCGCACGGGUGCGUAACGCGUGGGAACCUGCCCUUAGGUUCGGAAUAACUCCCCGAAAGGGGUGCUAAUACCGGAUAAUGUCUUCGGACCAAAGAUUUAUCGCCUUUGGAUGGGCCCGCGUUGGAUUAGCUAGUUGGUAGGGUAAAAGCCUACCAAGGCGACGAUCCAUAGCUGGUCUGAGAGGAUGAUCAGCCACACUGGGACUGAGACACGGCCCAGACUCCUACGGGAGGGAGCAGUGGGGAAUAUUGGACAAUGGGCGAAAGCCUGAUCCAGCAAUGCCGCGUGAGUGAUGAAGGCCUUAGGGUUGUAAAGCUCUUUUACCCGGGAUGAUAAUGACAGUACCGGGAGAAUAAGCUCCGGCUAACUCCGUG